GGAUAGUUGGCUGAGCGGUCUAAAGCAUUCCAUUUGAGCUGGAACUAUGAAAAUUCAUACGAGAGUUCGAAUCUCUCUCUAUCCU